rnacentral:rRNA from 1 species
AUUGAACGCUGGCGGCAGGCCUAACACAUGCAAGUCGAGCGAGUGGCGGACGGGUGAGUAAUGUCUGGGACACUGCCUGAUGGAGGGGGAUAACUUCUGGAAACGGUAGCUAAUACCGCAUACCAUCAGAUGUGCCCAGAGGGGAUUAGCUAGUAGGUGGGGUAAUGGCUCACCAAGGCGACGAUCCCUAGCUGGUCUGAGAGGAUGACCAGCAACACUGGAAGUGAGACACGGUCCAUACUACUACGGGAGGCAGCAGUGGGGAAUAUUGCACAAUGGGCGCAAGCCUGAUGCAGCCAUGCCGCGUGUGUGAAGAGGGCCUUCGGGUUGUAAAGCACUUUCAGCGAGGAGGCGUUACUCGCAGAAGAAGCACCGGCUAACUCCGUGCCAGCAGCCGCGGUAAUUC